UUCCUCUCAGGGUCGCACCUGGAGAGUUUCCACUACUCUACCGGUCCUGACUACGGGAGGGAGAGUCAGGCAGAGGCCUGUCCGUUCCGUUCCUAGCUUGACCAGUGGCUAGCGAGUGGAAGGCCAUCUGCUACAAGU